CCGUGGCGGCCGCCUUCUUGCUGCUACUUAUUAUGGAAAACCGGCCGGGCUGGGCUUUCGCCUUCUUUCCGCCCACACCCGCCGAAG
rnacentral:ribozyme from 1 species